AUGUCUCACAGGAAGUUCUCAGCUCCCAAACAUGGAUCUCUGGGCUUCUUGCCUUGAAAGUGCAGCAGCAGGCAUCAUGGGAAGGUGAAGAGCUUCCCCAAGGAUGAUCCAUCUAAGCCUGUCCACCUCACACCCUUCCUAGGAUACAAGGCUGGCAUGACCCACAUGGUGUGGGAAGUCAAUAGGCCAGGAUCCAAGGUGAACAAGAAAAAGUUGUAGAGGCUGUGACCAUUGUGGAGACACCACCCAUGGUGGUUGUAGGCAUUGUGGGCUAUGUGGAAACUCCUCGAGGCCUCCAGACUUUCAAGACCAUCUUUACUGAGCAUAUCAGUGAUGAGUGCAAAAGGUGCUUCUAUAAGAACUGGCAUAAAUCUAAGAAGAAGGCCUUCACCAAAUACUGCAAGAAAUGGCAGGAUGAUGAUGGCAAGAAACAGCUGGAGAAGUAUUUCAGCAGCAUGAAGAAGUACUGCCAAGUCAUCCAUGGCCGAAAAGCUAGACUGGGCCUGGGAGAGGCUGGAGCAGCAGGUCCCUGUGAACCAAGUGUUUGGGCAGGAUGAGAUGAUUGAUAUCAUCGGGGUGACCAAGGGCAAAGGCUACAAAGAGGUGACCAGUCAUUGGCAUACCAAGAAGCUGCCAUGCAAGACCCACUGAGGACUGUGUAAGGUUGCCUGUAUCAGGGCAUGGCAUCCUGCCCGUGUGGCUUUCUCCAUGGCACAGGCUGGGCAGAAAGGCUACCAUCACCACACGGAAAUCAAUAAAAAAAUUUAUAAGAUUGGCCAAGGCUACCUUAUCAAGGAUGGCAAACUGAACAAGAACAAUGCCUCUACUGAUUAUAACCUGUCUGACAAGAGCAUUAAUCCUCUCGGUGGUUUUGUCCACUAUGGUGAAGUGACCAAUGAUUUUGUCAUGCUGAAAAGACUGUGUGGUGGGAACCAAGAAGUGAGUGCUCACUCUCUGCAAGUCCUUGUUGGUACAGACAAAACAGCAGGCUCUGGAGAAGAUUGACCUUAAGUUCAUUGACACCACCUCCAAGUUUGGCCAUGGCCCCUUCCAGACUAUGGAGGAGAAGAAAGCAUUCAUGGGACCACUUAAGAAAGACCAAAUUGCUAAGGAAGAAGGAGCUUAAUAUCAGGAACAGAUUGUACAGCUGGUGGGAUCUCAAUAAAAGUUGUUUUCUAAUGACA